UGGGUGUGAUGAGGAGGAAUAGCGGGAAAUAGGCAUAAAACCGUGAUUAGUGAGGAGACGGCCGGCGGGGUUUUGACAGGUGGUGAUCAGCUGAUGCCCGCACGUGGACCCUCGAGGCACCGAGUCCAAGGGGCGUAUUUUAAAACAUUUUGUCGCCCAAGUUCACAUAUUUGACAUGGCUUUCGUAGGAGCUGUAGGCCUUUCCAGAGGUAGUUUUAUGACCCUGGUGGUAGUUUGACCCUUCUGUACCAUGAACCUUAAAAAACACUCUUGAAAACCCGGUUGACCCCCUAGCUCUUUGACCUUUAGAAAUAGUUGAUGUGAGAAGCGAUGGUGCCUUAAAGUACGGCCCCAAGGGUGUCCAAAAUCGUGCAAUUCACAACAUCUAUCACCAGAAAACUAUUAGUGCCUACCGCCCACACGGCCACUAGGACCUGCCUGGGCUGGUGGACUGCUGUGCUUACACCUCCGAGGGGCAGCCAUGGCUAAAGUGUUGCCAAUUUUUCCUGUGCAUCCCUCCUCCUCACAUUUAAAGAUGCACCAGGUCACACAGGGAUAUAAGAAGACUACAAGAGGCCAGACAACCUACACAUGGCAGAUCCUGAGCUCUGGUUUGGGCUAAGCUGGAACUCACCACCAUGACCUCAGAGGAGCAACUACCUGCAUGAUAACCAUGAAGCUUCCUGCAUCUCAUGAGCUGGCUGGGUGAGGGUGUGGCAAGAAUCACUCAAGCAGAGGAAAACGGAACAGGGAAGUGACUGGUCGGGGCAGCCGGGAGUUUGCAAAAGGAAGGGUUGGUGAAUCCCAUGAGAAUUGUUGUCAGCAGGUCAUUGUAUCUGUCAGAGUGGGUAACAUGGGGUCCAGUCAUACUUAUUUUUGGCACAUUGGUGUUCUGCAGGGUUUCCAUACAGGAUUACUUUGAAGGUUUGAUGACCCUUGAACGUACAGUGAUGCCAGGGGCUGUGAGCUUGCCAGGAGUGUGUGGGCUUGCUGAUGACAACACAUGGAGGCUCUACAGGCUGUGGAAGAGUUGUCAACAGGAAGGCCACAAGACUCCUGUUAAAUAGGUUGACACUGAUUUCAGGCUUGCUAACAUUCCUGGCAGGUUUGUUUCAAGUUUGUUAAGCUUGAUAAUCAAAGGAAUAAAGUACAAAAACUGUAAAACAUCUCCAUACCUGAAAUGUGUAGGCUGGACUUCAUGAAUACCCUUGUAACAUGAAUUUAUAACCUGAUGAUAACAGUACUGGAGGUGAAAGGAGUCAUUCUGUGCGGAGUUCAGUUUAUUCCCCGAUAAUUUUGGCUUCGUGUUUUCAAGGGGACUGAGGGAGCUUCAGAGCCGUCACGUCUUAUGAGCCCAGUCACAGGCAGCUCGGUUCGCUGAAUAGAAUGAACUGCUGUGAGGGUAAUCAAUUUGGGUCAGAUGCUUGGAUGUUAUUGAUUGACUGUGGCAUCUUCCCUUUCCUUGGUUUAUGUUUCUUUGUUAUCAUGUGUUAUUUACCUAACGUCCUCCCGUCUUCCCUUCCCUUCCUCGCCCAUUCCUUCGUCCAUUUUCUAACAUCCUCCCUUCUUUCCUUCCCUUACUCUCCUGCACCCAUUCUCCUUCUUUGCCCAUUCCUUCAUCCCUUACCCAAUAUCCUCCCUUACUCCCCUGCACCCACACUCCUUCAUCCCUUACCUAACGUCCUCCCUUUCCUGUCCCCCCCUCCACUCCUUUAGACUCACAGUCCCUGCAGCCUCGGCCCACACAAUAUCUCUUGUCCUUUUGUUGAUGGUAUGGUUUGCAUAUUUAGGGUAUACAAUGCUUCUCUGGCUUUCCUGUCAAGCUGAAAAGUGACCUCAGCAAGAAAGAAAGGCCACAGAAGCAUUGUGUAUCGUCAUGUGAAAGAGAUCAUCAACAAAAGGACGGGAGAUCUGGUGGUGGCUGAGACUGGAGUGAGUGCUGCCUAAUUUUUCUUGUAAGUAGAGCUGUACAAACCAAUAAAAAGGCAGAUGUCAUGGCCAAUCAGUAGCAUCCAGACCAUUGACCACAUGUGAAUACCCUCUUGUCAAUUCAGCGAGCUCAGCCACCACUGUGACUGGGCUUGUAAGACGUGACGGGACUUGAGCUUCCUUGGUUAUUCUAAGAAGUAUUGGCAAAACUAGUUGGGAGUUAACUGAACCUGGCACACCAAC